rnacentral:tRNA from 1 species
GGGCCGUUAGCUCAGCGGUAGAGCGUCCGCCUUACACGCGGCAGGUCGCAGGUUCGAUCCCUGCACGGCCCA